AACGAACGCUGGCGGCAUGCCUAACACAUGCAAGUCGAACGAGACCUUCGGGUCUAGUGGCGCACGGGUGCGUAACGCGUGGGAACCUGCCUUUAGGUUCGGAAUAACUCAGAGAAAUUUGAGCUAAUACCGGAUGAUGUCUUCGGACCAAAGAUUUAUCGCCUUUAGAUGGGCCCGCGUUGGAUUAGCUAGUUGGUGGGGUAAAGGCCUACCAAGGCGACGAUCCAUAGCUGGUCUGAGAGGAUGAUCAGCCACACUGGGACUGAGACACGGCCCAGACUCCUACAGGAGGCAGCAGUGGGGAAUAUUGGACAAUGGGCGAAAGCCUGAUCCAGCAAUGCCGCGUGAGUGAUGAAGGCCUUAGGGUUGUAAAGCUCUUUUACCCGAGAUGAUAAUGACAGUAUCGGGAGAAUAAGCUCCGGCUAACUCCGUG
rnacentral:rRNA from 1 species